rnacentral:rRNA from 1 species
CUUUUUGGAGAGUUUGAUCCUAGCUCAGGACGAACGCUGGCGGCGUGCCUAAUACAUGCAAGUCGAACGGAUCUAAAGGAGCUUGCUCCUUUAGAUUAGCGGCGGACGGGUGAAUAACACGCGGGAAACC